rnacentral:rRNA from 1 species
AACGAACGCUGGCGGCAUGCCUAACACAUGCAAGUCGAACGAGACCUUCGGGUCUAGUGGCGCACGGGUGCGUAACGCGUGGGAACCUGCCCUUAGGUUCGGAAUAACUCCCCGAAAGGGGUGCUAAUACCGGCUAAUGUCUUCGGACCAACGAUUUAUCGCCUUUGGAUGGGCCCGCGUUGGAUUAGCUAGUUGGUAGGGUAAAAGCCUACCAAGGCGACGAUCCAUAGCUGGUCUGAGAGGAUGAUCAGCCACACUGGGACUGAGACACGGCCCAGACUCCUACGGGAGGCAGCAGUGGGGAAUAUUGGACAAUGGGCGAAAGCCUGAGCCAGCAAUGCCGCGUGAGUGAUGAAGGCCUUAGGGUUGUAAAGCUCUUUUACCCGGGAUGAUAAUGACAGUACCGGGAGAAUAAGCUCCGGCUAACUCCGUG